rnacentral:rRNA from 1 species
AGAGCGAACGCUGGCGGCAGGCCUAACACAUGCAAGUCGAGCGCCCCGCAAGGGGAGCGGCAGACGGGAGAGUAACACGUGGGAACGUACCCUUCAGUUCGGAACAACCCAGGGAAACUUGGGCUAAUACCGAAUACGUCCGUAAGGAGAAAGAUUUAUCGCUGAAGGAUCGGCCCGCGUCUGAUUAGCUUGUUGGUGAGGUAAUGGCUCACCAAGGCUACGAUCAGUAGCUGGUCUGAGAGGAUGAUCAGCCUCACUGGGACUGAGACACGGCCCAGACUCCUACGGGAGGCAGCAGUGGGAAUAUUGGACAAUGGGCGCAAGCCUGAUCCAGCCAUGCCGCGUGGGUGAUGAAGGCCCUAGGGUUGUAAAGCCCUUUCGGCGGGGAAGAUAAUGACGGUACCGCAGAAGAAGCCCGGCUAACUUCGUGCCAGCAGCCGC